GUGACGGUGCGCGGAGGCGGUGGUGGAGUUGCUUCCCCUGCUAGGCGGGCUCGAACCGGGCGGGAGUCACUGUCCACCUUGCUUCGCCAGGGUGUUAUCGCCAGCCAGUCCCCUUCCGCAUGCCCAAGGGCAGCCUCAGGAAGCGAGCCCACCACCGUCGGCCCAGCGCCUGUUGAUCGGCCAGGCCUUCUGGGCCGGUCAUACUGGGCCCUUCCUAACCUGAGGAGAUUGCACAGUAGGGCUCCCUGGUCUGGUCAGGGCUCAGUUAGGACCCCUCUCCAGCCUUAGGCUUGGUGAAAGCUUUAGCGAAACAGAAAAAAGAACGCAUCGUGGUGUAGAGUGUAUGGCCUAAGAAGCAUUCGCUCCACUCAAAAAAAAGAAAGUCCUAAUGCAAGUAAUUGAAAGUGAAGAUAUUGCAAAACAAAUAAUGACAGCUGAAUUGAUGAUAUGAUGACAGGCUCAUCCCUCCAUUGUAAACUAUGGUUUACAUGACACCAGAGAAUUCAUGCUGGAAAGAAGAGAGAAGGAAUUCUCUAGAUGUGCCUUGAAAAAUUUCUUUGAAGUGCCUGUGUAUGAACCAGGAAUUUCACUAUCAUUUUUAGAGUCUUCUGAAGGCUAAUGGAUUUGGUAACACACUCCCUUUUCUGUACGGCUUCUGAAAAUAUUGUUCAGCUGUAUGUGGUGUCUCACAUCUGUAAUCCCAGCAAUUUGGCAGGCCAAGGCAAGAGGACUGCUUGAAGCCAAGAGCUCAAGACCAGCCUGGGCAACAUAGUGAGACCCUGCCUCUACAAAAAUAAAUAAAUAAAAUUUUUUGAAAAAUGAAAAU
rnacentral:lncRNA from 1 species